ACCUGGCUGGCUCAGUUGAUAGAGCAUGUGAUUCUUGAUCUCAGGGUUAUGAGUUUGAGUCUCAUGUUGGGCA
rnacentral:tRNA from 1 species